CUUGUUGGCGGGGUAAUGGCCCACCAAGGCGACGAUCCGUAGCUGGUCUGAGAGGACGAUCAGCCACACUGGGACUGAGACACGGCCCAGACUCCUACGGGAGGCAGCAGUGGGGAAUCUUGCGCAAAUGCGGGAAACCGUGACGCAGCGACGCCGCGUGGGGGAAGAAGGCCUUCGGGUUGUAAACCUCUUUCAGGAGGGACGAAGCUACUCGGGUUAAUAGCCCAGAGGGUGACGGUACCUUCAGAAGAAGCCCCGGCUAACUACGUGCCAGCAGCCGCGGUAAUACGUAGGGGGCAAGCGUUGUCCGGAUUUAUUGGGCGUAAAGAGCGUGUAGGCGGCUUGGUAGGUCUGCUGUGAAAACUCGAGGCUCAACCUCGAGCUGUCGGCGGAAACCACUUGGCUAGAGUCCGGAAGAGGAGAGUGGAAUUCCUGGUGUAGCGGUGAAAUGCGCAGAUAUCAGGAAGAACACCUAUGGCGAAGGCAGCUCUCUGGGACGGUACUGACGCUGAGACGCGAAAGCGUGGGGAGCGAACAGGAUUAGAUACCCUGGUAGUCCACGCUGUAAACGAUGGGUGCUAGGUGUGGGCGGUGUCGACUCCGUCCGUGCCGCAGCUAACGCAUUAAGCACCCCGCCUGGGGAGUACGGCCGCAAGGCUAAAACUCAAAGGAAUUGACG
rnacentral:rRNA from 1 species